GAGAUGUUGCACGGUUAAAAUAACUUGUUUGCCCUGAGGUCAGGUGCGCAAUACAACAUUCAGCUUCCUUUCAUCAAUCUUGGCCCAAGCCGACAAAAAACUGGCCGGGGUUUCACAGAGGACACGAGCUGGACUCGCUACAAGAAAAUUCCGAGUUAAAUAAAAGCUUUCUUUUUUAAAAAAAAAUCAUAACUUCAGCGAAGGCAGUGGUUUGGAGAAACUCGGAAGUAGUGCAAGGUUUCGAUUUAAAUGAACGAGCCAUUUAUUUAACUUUAUUUGUGCAGACCCUAGUGUUUAAAAAAGAAAACCUUAAAAAAAAUCCAAUUUGGGAAGUCUCAUCUGUUGGAGUCACUGACAAAUUUAACCAUAACAGUGCUUUCUGCCUGCCUGCUAUAAACUGGCAGGAUUGUAUGAUGCUGAACAACACAGGAGAUAGAAUCCCCAAACCGUAAAAUAGCUUGUCUUCAAGAGUUUAAAGUGUCUUUGCCUCCCUACUCGAAGGAAUCCCAACUUCACAAAAAAAGGCAACAAUGCAGCUAUCUCCAUUACCCGAACAAAGCCCGAUCGAAACUGUCGCUACACUUACAGAAAUAUCGAUAUUCUCGCGCCAUCAUAUCACUGGUAAUGUGGGCAUUUAAUUCCGACACAGAAGUGGUUUGUAUUGAGACUGCAAUUGGGCAAUAGUCGUUUCCAAGACAUGGUUUUGAUUUCGUUAUCAGUUUUGAAAAAUCCUCACGUCCAGUCCUGCGAGAGAGUUACAAAUCUUUCUGUAUCGCUGUAUAACUAGUUUCUUUUUUCUUUUAUUAAUGCUUUGUCCUGUCUUGCACUCGAACCAUCUGGGUGUCAGCGGCCUGACAUCUUCACUGCCUUACCAGGGAUCCUUCUUUGAACCUUAAAAGAGCCGCAAAUCUCUGUGCUUCAUGGAAGAACAGCUUGUGUGCACGCAAACACUGAAUGAGGAAAGAACAUCAAGAGAAAAUUCUGACAGAGGAAGAAUUCAAGCAUCAAGCUGUAGAAGGAAGAGAUGUAUGCUGGUUCAAAACUCCAGCAACCACUGAAAGCUAAACUAAAAUCCUGAUUCUGUGGAACCCUGACUCCACCCAUUCAUGCUGCUUUUAUUGUUCCAACUUUUUAAAAAAUGCAAGGCCUCACAAGCUGUUUACUUUAUUGGUUUGGAAGAGACCCUUGUCACCUCCAUCUCACCCUCUCUUCACAAUAAAUUUUAGGACAAAACACACCUCUUAAAGCCUUGGUAUUGUCACAACACAUACU